rnacentral:misc_RNA from 1 species
GAUGAAGAACGCAGCGAAAUGCGACAAGUAAUGUGAAUUGCAGAAUUCCGUGAAUCAUCGAGUCUUUGAACGCACAUUGCGCCCCCUGGUAUUCCGGGGGGCAUGCCUGUCCGAGCGUCAUUGCUGCCCUCAAGCACGGCUUGUGUGUUGGGCCCCGUCCUCCGAUCCCGGGGGACGGGCCCGAAAGGCAGCGGCGGCACCGCGUCCGGUCCUCGAGCGUAUGGGGCUUUGUCACCCGCUCUGUAGGCCCGGCCGGCGCUUGCCGAUCAACCCAAAUUUUUAUCCAGGUUGACCUCGGAUCAGGUAGGGAUACCCGCUGAACUUAAGCAUAUCAAUAAGCGGAGGA